rnacentral:misc_RNA from 1 species
CGCACAUUGCGCCCUUUGGUAUUCCGAGGGGCAUGCCCGUUCGAGCGUCAUUACACCAAUCAAGCCCAGCUUGGUAUUGGGUCCCGGGAGCGACCCGGACCUCAAAAACCUCGGCUGGAAGGCUCCAAUCUCAGCGUCAUGGUUGUCAAAUUCGCUGGCGAGAGGAGAACUUUCAGGCCGCUAAAAUUCGUUAAAGGUUGACCUCGGAUCGGGUAGGGAUACCCGCUGAACUUAA